rnacentral:tRNA from 1 species
GGGGAUAUAGCUCUGUGGUAGAGCACUUGCCUAGUACACAAGAAACCCUGGGUACAAUCCCAAGUACUGCUA